AGUUCUGCAGUAAAUGUUUACGUUGGAUUGCAAAUCCAAAAAAUGGAGGUUGAUUUCUCCCGGGACUU
rnacentral:tRNA from 1 species